GAUGUACAAACAGAACGGAGCUGACGGGAGAGCUAGCGAUCGCAAAGUUAGCAGAAGUAUUCACAUGUGACUACGUUCGGUUUUCAAAAUAAGGUGUUAACAAAGGGAACUGUAUAUACAAAAUACAUAUGGAAAUAAGAUUGGCUGGAUUAUAUUCACCAGAAGAAUAAAACAUUACAUGUCCCUU